UACAUUACUCUCCGUUGCAUGCCUAUUGAUUAUCAUAUUCAAAUAUUAAUGCACAAUUUCAUUAACGUAUUGUCAUACUCUUGAAACAGUGUACAUGCUAUAAUAAUUUGGUUCAUUUUUAUCAGUUUUUUCCUCAUGUAAUUCAGGCACUGACUGUCGUGGAGAAAAACAUCCAAGAUACCUUUUCAGAAAACGGGAACCACCCUUUGGUAAAGCUCGUAGCUAACGAAAAGCUGAAAUCAGCUUUCAAGAAGAACAAAAGACUAGUUUCAUCGUAUACAGAAUCCGUCCUCGUCAAGGAAGCGUGUUCAGUGAUCAUGCACGAGGUAUAGAGUAUGGUCUUUGAUUAUUUUUUGUAACAAGUAUUAUCUUACAAUAAUAUAUACGUUUUCAAAACAUGAUUUUAUUUAUAAGAGUGCGUAACAUUUUGGUCAUUUUGUGCACAACCACAUUUUAUUCACGAAAGUAUAAACUUGCGCUGUGUUUGUGUAAAUUUAAUUCGUUAAAUGUAAAUAUUUUAAAUGUUAAUGGGAAGAACAAAGUCUUAAAAUGUACAAUAUCUCCAUAUAACAU